GCGUCCGUAGCUCAGUUGGUUAGAGCACCACCUUGACAUGGUGGGGGUCGGUGGUUCGAGUCCCACUCGGACGCACCA
rnacentral:tRNA from 1 species